CAGUAGCCGCGGUAAUACGGAGGAUCCGAGCGUUAUCCGGAUUUAUUGGGUUUAAAGGGUGCGUAGGUGGUUUUUUAAGUCAGGGGUGAAAGACGGCAGCUUAACUGUCGCAGUGCCUUUGAUACUGAAGAACUUGAAUGAACCAGAGGUAGGCGGAAUGUGACAAGUAGCGGUGAAAUGCAUAGAUAUGUCACAGAGCACCGAUUGCGAAGGCAGCUUACUAUGGUUUGAUUGACACUGAGGCACGAAAGCGUGGGGAUCAAACAGGAUUAGAUACCCCGGUAGUCCCUGUCUCUUAUAC
rnacentral:rRNA from 1 species